UUUCAAAAAUUUCUAUCUCUUUGUACUGUUAAAUAUUAAUGUGGUUGACAGAAUAACCAGAUAAUGACAUAUUAGAUGUCAUGUGUACUAUCUAUUGACAUACAAAGACCAGUUUUUAACAGUAAAAUUGAUGAAUUUUUUUAAU
rnacentral:pre_miRNA from 1 species